CAUUAGAUGACUGAAAGUAAGUAUUGGUCUCUUAAACCACCCUAUAGUAAACUAACAAUUACUUCUAAUGA
rnacentral:tRNA from 1 species